rnacentral:misc_RNA from 1 species
GAAAUGCGAUAAGUAAUGUGAAUUGCAGAAUUCAGUGAAUCAUCGAAUCUUUGAACGCACCUUGCGCUCCUUGGUAUUCCUUGGAGCAUGCCUGUUUGAGUAUCAUGAAAUCUUCAAAGUAAAUCUUUUGUUAACUCAAUUGGUUUCUACUUUGGUAUUGGAGGUCUUUGCAGCUUCACACCUGCUCCUCUUUGUUCAUUAGCUGGAUCUCAGUGUUAUGCUUGGUUCCACUCGGCGUGAUAAGUUAUCUAUCGCUGAGGACACUGUAAAAGGUGGCCAAGGUAAAUGCAGGUGAACCGCUUCUAAUAGUCCAUUGACUUGUACAAUACUUUUAUGAUCUGAUCUCAAAUCAGGUAGGACUACCCGCUGAACUUAAGC